AUGCAGCCAGAGGCACAGAGAGUUUCUGUUCUCAGGCAUGACAUCAGCUGCGGGUGGCUGGAAGGUGACAUGCUGGGAGCCAGGCUCCACAAGCACUGGCCUUGGGAGCACCCUCCUGAGCCCUGGAGAUUGCUGCUGGACUCGGCACCGAGCACACAGUGCCUGUUCAGAGCCCAUGUGCUCUUCCUUGCCAUGCCUGGACUGCUAGGCAGGCUGGUCAUGCACAAAAUGUUGAUGGAAAGAGGAGUGCUGGUGAGUGGGUUUGGUCAGCAUCUUUCCUGCUGGCCUGGCUGCCACCAGAGCUGGUGGUGGCACUGUGAUUUCUGUGUUUGUUUUUCUUGGAGCCCAGAUCUGGUAUUUUGUGAUUUGGGAGAAAAGCAUGCUAUUUUUAAGCAUCUUUCCCCAGCAGGACUGAAAGUGUUGGCAUCUCUGCUGCUUGGUGCUUUGGGAUGGGGAGCACCCAGCGAUGGGGAUGUGAGGAAGGCAGAAGGCACUGCAUCUCGUCCUGGCCAUGACAGCAUCUGCAUCACCAUUGGCCAGUGCUCAGUCUCCUUUAUAUGUCUUCCUGGUUUAAUCCUGCAUUUAACAUUACACAGCACCUGCUCCAGGAUGGAGGGAAAUGCUAUCAUUGCGUCAGAUCAAACGGUGGCUGCUGCUCCUUCCUCUGCACGCCGUACCACUGCUCCUUUUGGGCAGCAGAAGGGCAGUGUGGCACGGCAGGUCACCUCGCCUGCCACCUCCUCUGUGCAGAGCACACGCUGCCCGGCUGGGCUCAAGGGGAAGCAUCCAUCAGAAAAACAUCCCCAAGGUAAAACAGCACUGCAUGUUUCCAGCCAGACAUCAGCAGCGGGUCCAGCCGGGGCAGCGUGUGGAGCUGGGGCUGUUGGAGAGCCCUCUGCACAGCCUUGGCUCCGGGAGCAGCUGCUUUGCAAUACAAAUGGCUUAAACAUCAAACACGGACCGUGUUGCAGCGCAGACAAGGCGCAUCAAAGAGCUGUUUAG
rnacentral:lncRNA from 1 species